rnacentral:tRNA from 1 species
GGGGGCGUAGCUCAACGGGUCAGAGCGUCCGCCUUAUAAGCGGUCGAUGCGGGUUCGAGUCCCGCCGCCCCUACCA